GCAUGCUAAUCUUCUUUAUAUAUAAAACCAAGGGUCCAAUGAAUACUAUUUUUUGGUGUCACAAGCUUCAUAAAAAAUAAUUGGACAAAAAUGCCCCUCAAAUAAAAAAAAUUCAAAAGCAACCCAAAAUAAUGUAUCAAAUGUGGCAAGGGUAUUUUCAUCAUUUUAACAAUGUUUUUUAAUAAUUAAUUUUUUUUGUACUUUUUUAAAUAAUUAGUACCUCAUAAUAAGCUAGCAAUAAUGUGAUUCAAUCAGUUGUUCAUUAAAUAUUAUUUUCUCUAUUUUUAAACACAUUCAAAAUCAAAACAUCUUAAGAGGCAUAUAAUGCUGGUUAUAAAAAUGGUUUUUCGAACGCGGAUAAUAAUGUGAUUAAAUUAGUUGUCAAAUGAUUUUUUUUAACAAACAAUAUUAUCUACACUAAGUGGAGGGGGUGGGCUUAACCUCACGAUAGGCUAGUAAUAAUAUGAUUCAAACAGUUGUUUAUUAAAUAUUAUUUUCUCUAUUCUUAAUAUAAAUUCAAUAGAGACCGAUUUUAUUAUGUUGAUUUAGCUGCUUUAAUUGGUUUAUGAGUAGGGGUGGGCACGGUUUGGUUCGGUGCGGUUUUGAGUGAAACCAAAACCAAAACCGAAAUUUUUUGCGGUUUGGUUCGGUGCAAUUUUGAAGCCAAAACCGAAAUGAAACCAAACCGUUUGGUUCAGUUCGGUGCGGUUUCAAACGGUUUCGGUUUAGUUUUUAAGAAAAAAUGUACAAUUUUCAAUUUAACAUAUUAAUAAUAAUAAGCAUUUCCCAAUAUCAAUAGGAAAAAGAGAUUUGUUAUGUAAACAAUUAGCAUGUUGCAUGUAAUCAUGAUGUUAAAACAUGUUUGUGCAACAAAAGGGUGUCCCUUACAAUGUUUAUCAUAAAACAAGUUGAAUAAAUUUGAAUUCAUUAAACAUGAGCGAAACUUUGAUACUAGAAUAUGUGAUAUCAUGCUUCAAAUGAGUGGACUUUAUUAGAUUAUUGUUCGACUCUUGAUAACAAGAUUAGUCCACCCUUGUACAUAUAUGUGUGUGUGAUGGUAUAAAAUAACAAAGCUCCUUCAAGUUAUUGAACGAAAGAAAGUGAUGAAUGAUGAUAUUCUAGUAUGGUUGAGUACUAUACUAAGUGUAUGGAUUCUAACAAACAACCGAUUAAAACAUGAAAUAUAAUAUGGACAUUUAAUUAAAUGUUUAUUAAUAUUUACGGUGCAGUUCGGUUUCGGUACGGUUUUCAAAAGCCAAAACCGAAACCAAACCGUUUUCUAUGUUGCGGUUUGGUUUCAAAACCGAAACCGUUUCAAAAUCGCAAAACCAAACCGUUCAGUGCGGUUCGAUUUGGUUCGUGUUCCGGUUUCAGUUUUCGGUUCUAAGUGCCCAUCCUUAUUCAUGAGGGGUUUCUUCUAUCAUGAUCUAAGAUUAUUAAUUUACUUCAAACAUUUUACUUUUAUUUUGUCAAUUUAUGCAUAUAAAUAUAUUUAAAACAUGUAAAUCGUGCGUAGUAUGUCGUGAUUCAAAAAUUACCUUUUGCACGCGCGCGCAUGCAUGAAAGUUAGUUUACAUGUAAAUUGACCAGCAAUAUCGCUUCUUUUUUGUUUUAUUUGUUUCUAGGCCUCUUUACUUUCGUAGUAAUCGUUGAAUGUAUAUGACGGCCCCCCUUUUCUUUUCUUAUGUUUUAUUGUUUGUUUAAUUAAAAGUUGGGGUUUUUGAACAUUAGUCCUUGCAAAAGAUUAAAAUUUUAAAAAAAACCUGAUGCUAGAUUAAAUAUUUAAUUUAAUCCCUUGAGUGUACUUUUAUCAAAAUUUACAUUCAAUUUUUCUUAUUUAAUGUGUAUUUUUAUUUAAUCUCUCCAUAUUAAAUUUUAAUUUUAUUAAUAUGCACAUAUUUAAUUUGUUUUAAUUAGAAAUGAACGUAAAUGAGAAAAUAUUAAAAAAAAUUUGUGAUACAAAAAUAUAUAGAUACAUAAGUGUACAAAAAUGAUUGUGCCAAAAUAUAUAAAAUUGACUUUUUUGUACCAAAAUAUUUGUACCUACAUGAUUGUACCGAAAUAUAUUAUAAUGAACCUAAAUGUAUGUACUGAAAUGUAUUAUAUUGAAUUAAUGUACCUAAAAGUCAAUACCAAAAUGUAUGUACCAAAAUAAAAAAAUGUCAAUACAAGUGUACCUAAAUGUCAAUACCGAAAUGUAUGUACCAAAAUGUACAAACCUAAAUGUCAAUACCGAAAAUGUAUGUACCUAAAUAUCAAUACCAAAAUGUAUGUACCUAAAUGUAUUUACCGAUAUAAUAAUUGAAUUAAUGUACCUAAAAGUCAAUACUCAAAUGAUCAAAGUGUACGUAACGAAAUGCAUUAUAUUAAUCGAAAUGCAUUAUAUUGAAUCAAUGUAACUACAUGUUUGUACCGAUAAAUAUACCAAAAUAUUCAAAUGUAUUAAUGUACCUAAAUGAAGAACAUACAAAAUUGUUAUCGGAAUAUAUAUUAUAAAAAAUUUAGUUGCCUAAAUGUAGACAUUAAAAUAUAUUAUGGUGAAUGAAAUAAAAAUUAAAUGUAAAUGUAAUUAAUACAUUAAAAUAAAAAUAAAAAGAUAAAAAAAAACAUCAAAAUACAACUAAUAAAUGAUAUGAUUAAAUGUGCUAGGGACUAAAAUUGAAUUUUAAUCUUACAUAUGGUUAUAAUCUAAAACUCAUCUUUUUUAGGGAUUAAAAUGAAGUUUUCUAUUAAAAGUUUAAGUGGAACAUGUUGGAAUUUACAUUUAAUAUUAAUAAUAAUAAUAAUAUUUAAUUCAAUGUGUGAAUGAAGAGUUCUUAACCGUUUAUUGAAGUUGGUGCCAUCUUGUACAAAGUGGCACUACAUUGUGUUGGACAUCGUAGGUUUUACAUAAAUCCAAGUUAGAAUAGACGUUAGAUAUGCAUAAAGAGGAAUUUUCCCUUUCUUAUUUUCUCAUUAUAUCUUUGUCAAAUUAUGAGUCGUGUCUUGAGAAUACGAAAUAUAUAAUGUUCUCUAGAGUCUGAAAAUUGCAGUGUUUUGACUUCGAAUUAUAGAUUGUUAAAUCUUGAGAGAUAGAUGCAUGUCAAACUAUAAGCACAAGAGUAGAGACGAAAUUUUAUUUUUAGGACAUUGCAUAUAUGCAAGCCUUAAUCUUUAAGUUUGUCCGUCUAUAUUACUUUAUUUCUAGUUGUUUAUAUUAAUUUUGUACACAAUUAAUGUUGUAACUUCUUUAUGAUUAUUAUUGUUGAUAUUUUUUUAUUAUUCUCAUUCCAACAGACUAAUAAAGAAAGCCUUUGAUUAUUAUAUACUUAAGGAAUACAAGGUGAGAAUUAUCACAACGGAGCCAGUUCAGGGUUUCUGAGUAGAGAGAUAGAACAGGUACAUAUAUAAAACAACUCUUAAACAUAUAUUUUACUCAAACUGUUUAAGUGAACGGAACAUCACUAUUAUAUUGAACAAAAAUCGAUAAGUUGAUUACUUAAGUGACAUUGCGUUCACUUAGAACAAUAAUAAUGUUAGAUUAGAACAUUUCCCAAAUAUAAAGAUUCUAUUAAUAAGCUUGUGCUAUAACUCAUCUAAGUUGUAACCAAAUAGUUAUUGGUUUAAUUAAUAACUCGCCUUCAUGCACGUGCAUGAGCACGUGCAGAAGACAUUUUUUGAAUCACGGUAUGCUACGUGCGACUUACACGUUUUAAAUGUAUUUAUAUGCGUGAAUUGACAAAAGGAAAGUCAAAUAUUUGAAGUAAAAGAAUAAUCUUGAAUCAUGCUAGAAAAAAACCCCUCACAAACCAAUAAAAGCAGCUGAAUUCACAUAAUAAAAUCGGUCUUUCAAUUUUCAUCUACAUUCUAUUGAAUUUACAUAAAAAAUAGAGAAAAUAAUAUUUAAUAAACAACUGAUUGAAUACAUUAUUCCUAGC
rnacentral:lncRNA from 1 species